rnacentral:rRNA from 1 species
ACUCCUACGGGAGGCAGCAGUGGGGAAUAUUGCACAAUGGGCGCAAGCCUGAUGCAGCCAUGCCGCGUGUGUGAAGAAGGCCUUCGGGUUGUAAAGCACUUUCAGUCGUGAGGAAGGUAGUGUAGUUAAUAGCUGCAUUAUUUGACGUUAGCGACAGAAGAAGCACCGGCUAACUCCGUGCCAGCAGCCGUGGUAAUACGGAGGGGUGCGAGCGUUAAUCGGAAUUACUGGGCGUAAAGCGCAUGCAGGUGGUUUGUUAAGUCAGAUGUGAAAGCCCGGGGCUCAACCUCGGAAUAGCAUUUGAAACUGGCAGACUAGAGUACUGUAGAGGGGGUAGAAUUUCAGGUGUAGCGGUGAAAUGCGUAGAGAUCUGAAGGAAUACCGGUGGCGAAGGCGGCCCCCUGGACAGAUACUGACACUCAGAUGCGAAAGCGUGGGAGCAAACAGGAUUAGAUACCCUGGUAGGAUACCG